AUACAUACAAAUAAACAU
rnacentral:sRNA from 1 species